AAAUAUCGAUUGAAGCGUUUAAAUCUAAAGUGUAUAUAUAUAAAUUAUUCAUAUCCGGCUGUGAAUGUUACGUUGGGAAUCCCAGUUACACUUUUAAAACGAAGGAAUAAACGAAAGUUGUACGUAAAGGAUGAAACUUGGAAGUAUUUUUGAACCAAAACGACGACCUGACAACAAGUAAUGGAGGAAAAAUGAAAAGCGCCCGGAUAUAGGAAAUCGUCGGAAAAAGGCGAAAAGAUGAGAGGUAUUCUGGCUUACUUUGGCACUAACAAAAAUAUGCCGAAUAAUGGAUUUGACCCAUUGGGCAUGCGUACUUGUCUUGAAAAUGCAACACAAACCACAAAAGCUUUAACAGGCUUCAUUCAAGAAACGCGUCCUGCACUAAAAAAAUCCUUAGAAGCUGUAACAACUUCUUCAAAAGAUCUUGUAAAGGUCACACAACGCCUAGAACAAAGACUAGAAGGUUCUCUCGACGAAAUCGACGAUGCUGUAAACUUCAUACAACGCCUGGAACGGAAAAUAGAAGAUUCUCUCGGCAAGCUCGAUUUUCUAGUACACACCAUUUUUGUUUUACUCUGUAUAGCUCUUUUUGCUGUUUGCGACAAAUUAAGGUUUAGUUACCUUACUGAGCAUCUAACACACGAAUUACUGACAAUUAUGGCUGCAAUAAGUCUUAUUACAGCUACUGGAGUUCUAUUGCGCGUGUUUUAUAUUUCUGUGUUGAAGGAUGUGAUAUAUUACUCUGCGAAGUUUGUACAUUUGGAUGUUCUUCGUCUCAUGCACCUUCAGUUUAGCAAUAGUAUUGCUAAACUGAAUGCUGUGUUUUGGUACAUGGGGUUUGUCUUCGAGUUGAUAUUUUUACUUUCCUAUUUUCAUCCAACAGCAUGCAAAUACGCUUUUGAGACGAAAUUAAGGGCAAAAUUGCUUAUCAUCCAUUGACAGGAAUAUUGUUUAGCAUUACUCUAUUCCUUAAAACAAUUGGAUUAAGUAAUGAUGUUGCAAUUAUCACGUGUGUAAUCACGUCCUUUAUUUACUUUUCUGUAACCGCAGUUAAUCUGCAUGAAAGCCACCAAAGACCCACAUUUAAUUUUCAUAAUAAUUAUCAAAACUCUAAAGAAAUUGACACAUUUGACCGAAUAGGUAAGUACUUUAAGCUUGCCAGGAAUGUGUUUUAUGAAUUUCAUAUUUUAGUAUGCACGGCUGUUUGCUCGGUUAUUAUUGUUUCCGAGUGUAUCUGUUGGUGUGUAAACAUGUUCGCUUUUUAAUAUUUUUUUUGAGUGUUUCCGUGUCCAAUAUGUUAUAUUAUCCGAUUCUCAUUCCAUAUAGUGCAAACUUGUGAUACGAGAUGUGAUUCACAAGUUUUGAAAAGUUUUUGACAAUUAAGUUAAACACACAAGAAAAAUUUUAAGAUCUGAGAAAGUAAAUCGACAUCGCCUAACUAUAACGUAAGUUUCUUGUUAAUUACAGUAUGUUCAAUUAUUUUCCUUAAGUCCUCGUUGGAAACCAGCCGAAUUAAAGAUGUUUCUCUUCUGUAAUUGUCUCUACUAUUCACCGCUAAUCAGGUGUAACCAGUUUGGUAUUAUUUAGUGCUUGAAUGUUAGCUGAUCAGGGCUUGAAAUUUUUAAAAUGAAUUCGUACCUUUAUAAGUUCACUUAUACCAAACAAAGAUAUUCUUUAGACCUUUUUCACAAACUGGUGAUGCCGAUUUUGAUUCGUUUUGAGAAAUAUUUCGAUUUGAUAAAGGUACCCAAGUUGAACGCAUAUAUUUAGCGUUUUGUAAAAAGUUACAACGCGUCAAAAUUCAAAAAGUCGACACAGAAUACAUUAAUCUAUGCAGAGGUAUGAAGAAGAAAUCUUCACAUUUAUAGAAAUUACAACAUAAACAAGUUUCGACUCAAAUUGUGUAAAAGCAAUGAAAACAUAUAAAUUAAGCAUAUGUAUUAUUAUGUAUUUAGAUAUAAAGAAAUGCAAUCUAGGAGAAUUCAUAGGGUUUCGAAAAGGUAACAAAACUAUAGCAAGGUUAGGCUUUAACGAAGUUUGGCACUCGAGGAGUAAGUAAUGAGGAACCCUUCUUUGCAAAUCUUAAACAAAAGGUUAUUGGUAUUUUUGUACAAGCAAUUAAGCUCCGAUAUAAAUGAAACCAGUAGAGUAAUUUUGUCAUAGGACCGUAUUUGAAUUUGAAAUCAGCGGAUAUCUUGACUUCUUAAAUGUGAAGAUUAUAGGUUUUCACUUUCGCGACUAAAGUUAUCCUCUCAUACUCUCAGACUUGCCGUUGAAAGCAUCCCCUUUGAGCAAUGUAAAUGUAUAUCUUGUUUUGUCCUUGAAGCCGAAUUACUGAGUGCUCAGUUUUUCUCUUAUUUACAUAGGGAAUAUAUUAGAAAGUGCUUUUGGCAAACUCCGGGUAAUUGUAAGCUUUUGCAAUUGUUACAAAAAUUAAAACGUAACAGAAAUCCGAAAUCUCUCGAUCUACAUCUAUAAAGCUUUUCAAUCGAGAAACAAGACGACAAUUAGUGUAAAGUAAAAACAAUAUAGAUAUUAACACCUAGAAAAUUUAUAUCAAAUUUACAAUAUAAUCGUUACUGUCAUUGUUACAUUGCAUUGUGACAGGCAAAAUAUUUUCAUAUUAAUUUGACUCUCACAAUAAGCAAUUUCUGCGAUUUUGAUACUUAGUGAUUUUGGAUGUUUGUACUUACAGGGUAUUAAGGACCCUCCACGACCUAGUGACCUACUUUUUCAACCACAAAUCUUCAUGAAAAUCAUUUUUAUAAUACAGGUAAUAUACAGCCAUACUACAAGUUUUCAGGUGGUUAAUCCUGGCCCUUUCUAAAUAAAUGCGUUUUCACAACUUCAUCUGCAAACUUAUGAACACUUAUCUUACACCGUAGAAACAAAAUUUGAUUGAAAUUAAACUAAAUACACUGAUUUCUGUACACGUUGCUUCAUUAAUUUAAUUAAAUGUUAAACACAUUAAACAUUUAAUGCAGCAUAUCAUUUUCAUGCAAAUAAUAUAUAAUUACCAUCAUGGAAAAACAAAAGAAUACAGUUACAUUGUGGUGCCUCUUUAAAUCGAAAAUGUUUUGCCAUCUUGACAUGAUUUUGAUAUAAACUAGAUAUAUGUAUUCAUCAUACUGUGAUCACCGAUCUACUAAAAUUUUAUGCAUACUAAAGGUACAUUUGUACUUCUAGCUAUCAUUAAUUGAUUUCAUGCUGUAAAUCUGUCUUUCUGUGUAUGUCGCAAUGUUUGUUCACGAAAUUCCUCCGAUGUAACCAGUCAUAUUUACACCACACUUUAUAAGAAUGAUCAUUGCAAAGCUCAGUAGUUAUAUUAUUCAAGUUUAGUGUUUGUCCUUGAUUCGUAAAAUGUUAUUAUGUUUUUGGCCACUCCUGAUAUUAUUGGGCAGACUUCAACUAAAUUCUACGGGAGCUAUCAGAGUCUUGUGCACAUUUCUGCCAUGUUCUUAGUCUGUGUUUUUCAUUUGAGUUAAAGCCCUAGAUAUAAUGUUUAGCUGUUAACUUGUCUGCGAAACUGUUUUGAUACAUACCAUUAGGAGGAAUUAUAUAAAACUUCGUAAAAAUGGUACUUGGUGCUGUGAUUUUCAGAGACAGUUAUGGCCCUUUAUUUGUUAAAUGUUAUGAUAUUUUGGUUACUUCGCAUGCACCACCUGUUUACUAUUGAAUUAUUUCAUUAGCAUUUCCCUGUAUUGUUUUCCUUCAAGAUAUCUUCCCGGAAAAUAGAAAAGAAAUUCGACUUCAAAUGUUUAUACACUGUCCUUGAUAAGAAGAAUAAGUAAACGUUUUCAACUGGCAUUCCAGAUGAAUAUUUUAAGAUGCCUUCAAGUGCUGAAAAAAUAUUCUUACUUCCAUGAAGAGCGAAACAAUUCUUAGCUCCAAGUACAAUACCGACAUCCGACCGCCCUCCUCCCACAGAAGUUCAAACUAUCGCACCUAUGUGCAUUCUCUUUUCUUACUAUCUACUAGUAUACCUUUGCUUCAUUUCUAUUCUUGUAUUCAAAAUAAGAAGCUAACAGUACUAAUAUCCCAAUACACUGUAAGAUAACUCAUACAUUACUAGUUAAAAACAUAUUCAUUCAAUGAUAUGUGUGUAGUAUUUGUAUAAACCAACCAGAUGAUAGUAGUGAAUUUUAUCACUGUGGAAUUUCAUUCAUAAAACUGCACUUGUUUGAUUUUGCUCAGGCAAAUUGUGAAUAGUUGAUAUAAAAGUUAUAUAUGUGACAUAAUUUCUAUAACUAGAUGUCAAGUUGUAAGUUUGUAGAUCUAUGAUAUUUGUAUAUUUAAAAAUACUGUCACAGCGAAUGAAUUAAAUUAGUAACUAAAAAUAUACCUGUCACUUGACAGAUUUUCUUCUACAGAAAAACAUGUAGUUUUUCCAACUACAGUUUUCUGGAACUUUUACCAGGUAAAUCCCAAGCUGUCGAUUGUCCUGUCCGUUGUUCACGACUGGUUUGGUUAAAAUUCCUUUAGUCCAAUUUUCAUGAAUAAUGGCUUUUCAGCUGUUUUCCAGUCUGUCAAAUGUUUUUAUUGGAACAUAUGGAAAAUAUUAAUUCAUUUGUAACAAUAUUCCACAUGUAACUAAACUUAAUUUACUAAUUAACUGUUUGAAUUUGUUUUUGUUUGAAGUAAUAUAAAGUUAAAAACCAA